rnacentral:rRNA from 1 species
CCGGUGAAUACGUUCCCGGGCCUUGUACACACCGCCCGUCAAGCCAUGGAAGCUGGGGGUACCUGAAGUCGGUGACCGUAAGGAGCUGCCUAGGGUAAAACUAGUAACUGGGCU